GACGCAAUGAAUUUGAUGCACCGGAGUUUACGGCGUAUGUCGAUGAUCAGCUAUUAAAACAUUUCGGACGAUUUCUGCUAUUAUGUACAAGAAGAAGCAUGUCAAACACUUAAAUAAAACAGGGAUGUCCUGAUGCCAUCUGUCAGGCUCAACUGCAGGAUGUUGCAGGGCACUCUCUGACCCAGCUACAGCUCACAAAUAGUAUAAGCACACAAACCAUGGAGGAGGAAGAUAGCAAGAGCCAGAAAAAGCUGGAAUUCACUGGUGAAACUUCUGUCACAACCUGGAAGUCACUGGUGAAUGCUUUGUUGUCACCUGCCCACAUCUCUGCUCUUUGUCGCAACCCCAUUUAUAAUUUAGCUCCCGAGUUUGUGUAUCAUUCACCUGGCUGUGCAGCAUUUGUUAACUCUGGAGAUAACUGAGGUGUGUUCUGCAUGCAGAUAUAAGUGUUACUGAGGUGAAUUUAUAAUUCAUUUAAUUUUUCUUAUGAAAGGUAGUUGAAACAUUUUGGAUGGAAAUAAAAUAAACAACAGACAAACUAACAAAAAGUAUUGGUGAUUAGACAGAUGAUUAUCUUUUUUUGCCUUGGGAGAUAAGUUAAUUUUGUUAUUUUUGAAGAAAGGUCUUUUAAUUCGAUUCAACCAAAGCUUACACUGUUAUUUGAAUCUCAGAAACUACAUUUUCAUUGUGAGAGAGUAAGCACAUUUCAAUGUCCACUGUGAGGUUUGUUUUUAUGGUCCUUGUUCUGCUGUUGUCAUAAUGUUUGCCUCAAUGUUCAGGUGAAUAAAU